rnacentral:rRNA from 1 species
AUGAAGCUGGAAUUGCUAGUAAUCGCGGAUCAGCAAGCCGCGGUGAAUACGUUCCCCGGGCCUUGUACACACCGCCCGUCACACCAUGAGAGUCGGGAACACCCGAAGUCCGUAGUCUAACCGCAAGGGGGGCGCGGCCGAAGGUGGGUCCGGUAAUUGGGGUGAAGUCGUAACAAGGUAGC